rnacentral:rRNA from 1 species
AUUGAACGCUGGCGGCAGGCCUAACACAUGCAAGUCGAACGAGUGGCGGACGGGUGAGUAAUGUCUGGGAAACUGCCUGAUGGAGGGGGAUAACUACUGGAAACGGUAGCUAAUACCGCAUACCAUCAGAUGUGCCCAGAUGGGAUUAGCUUGUUGGUGGGGUAACGGCUCACCAAGGCGACGAUGCCUAGCUGGUCUGAGAGGAUGACCAGCUACACUGGAACUGAGACACGGACCAGACUCCUACGGGAGGCGGCAGUGGGGAAUAUUGCACAAUGGGCGCAAGGCGGAGGCAGCGAUGGCGCGUGUGUGAAGAAGGCCUUGGGGUUGUAAAGUACUUUCAGCGGGGAGGCGUUACCCGCAGAAGAAGCACCGGCUAACUCCGUGCCAGCAGCCGCGGUAAUAC